rnacentral:rRNA from 1 species
UACGUAGGGUGCGAGCGUUAAUCGGAAUUACUGGGCGUAAAGCGUGCGCAGGCGGUUUUGUAAGACAGGCGUGAAAUCCCCGGGCUCAACCUCGGAACUGCGUCUGAAACUACUCGGCUAGAGUACUGGAGAGGGUAACGGAAUUCACGGUGUAGCAGUGAAAUGCGUAGAUAUCGUGAGGAACACCAGAGGCGAAGGCGGUUACCUGGACAGUUACUGACGCUCAGGCACGAAAGCAUGGGGAGCAAAAGGGAUUAGAAACCCUAGUAGU